UGGAUAUUUUUUCCAUUCUAAACCCUCAGUGGGAAGAAACCUUCUACUUAUAAAGUAUUUCAAUGAGAUAAGGAAAAAAUGAUGAAGCAAAUUAUUGAUUUCAUGAAAUAGAUUAAAUAGCUUAUUUUUUUGAGUUUAUAUCCAGCUAGAAACAGGCCAUCUGAGUAACCAAUAUUCAUUAGACUCUCAUUUAAGUAAUAAACACCAGGCUAGAUGCUGGGGUUACAGAGAUUAAUUAGACAAGCUCUUCAUCCUCACAGGGUAAGGGAGCAGAUAGACAAAUACACUAGAAGAUGCUGACUCAGCUCAGUGGGACAGCUUCCAGAUAGGGCCCCCUCUCCUAGCUCUGCCCUAGAGCGCCUCGCCCCAUAUGUGCCCAGAGCACAGCAUUGUCUUCUGCUUAUGUCAUUGAUCAAAUCCACUCAUUUCACUCAAUGUAUGUUCCUUGAAUGCCUCCUACAUGUCAGGCUCUCUUCCAAGUGCAUAAAUUAACAUCUGCAUUUUGAUAUAUGUUAUAUGUGUAUAUGUUAUAUUGAGAUAUAGUGGGCAUAUAUAUAUUAUCUCUUCUUGUUUCCUUUAUGGGUAUGUAAAUAAGAAUGUAUACUUUAUAAAUCUUUGCAAAAUCAAGGUCAUAUUAUAUUCGCUGUUUUGGGGCUUUGAACAUGGCUUGGUAUUUCCCUUGACAUUAAAUAUUCACUGACAAUGUGCUUUUAGUGUAGAUAUAUUAGCUACCAUCAUUUGGAGACCCAACCUCAAUCUAUUUGGUCAAUUCCUAAUUAUUAGUCCCUUGGGUUUUAGUUUUUUUUUUUUUUUUUCCUAUUACAAAUAAGGAAAAGACUUACUUUUCUAUGCAAACCUUUGAUUGCCUUUCUAUCACAGGAUUACAAUUAGUCAUCAGCCUUCAAUGCGCAUCAUCAGCCUUUGGAAAGCAGCUAUGUUCUCUUCUGCCUUUUGGUCAGAAAUUUUCCUAACUGCGUUGUGUGAUAUGAUUUCACCUUCAUGUUAGAUUUCUAGUUAUCAGUGCAGUGGAAUAAGUCAGUCAAGAAGAGCCACAGCUGUGCUUUAGUGCCUCUUGCAUAUCAAUACUCGCUUAUCUGAACACACAUAUAAGAAAGCUCCUUCAGGGACUGGCUUGGCACGUAAGAAGGUCCCGCAGAGGAGCAUGGGGUUGGGGGAAGUCUGAAAUGGACACUUUGGUCCUAGAGAUGGCGUGCUUCGGCCCCUCUUUGUUUUGCUCUAGCGCCAUCUAAAUUUCAGAUUGAUUUAAAUUUUCCUCACAUUCUCCUGUCAGGAUACACACAUCACCAUCCGUGCAACAUAGCCUCUUUGAUAACGACCCUAAGAGAAGCACUUGCAUGUCUUUACCCCUCCCCAGGGGGCUAGCUGGAGACUCCCAGAGGCAAACUUCACAGAAUAGAAGAAAAGCAGUCCCAGGGCAGAAAAGCUUUAUGCAACCUCGGUAAACACCCAAAUAGCACAGGAGUUACUGAACAGAAAGGCACUGUGAUGUAGCAUUGUUUAUUAUGUCAGACAGCAUCAGAUUCCCAUGGCUUUAUAGGAAAGGAAAUCAGAGCAAUGAGUUUCAAUUAAGUUAUGCACAUGAAAUCUACCUCAAUUGUGCUAAUAGAAAACCUUAAUGUUGAUCCUGGCAUAACUUCUAAAUUUUAAACAUGAAUGCUUUUCGUGACUCAUAAUCACCAUUAAAACUUGAGCACCAUCCAUAAAACGAGCCUUUAGUUUUAGAUGCCAAAAGGUAAGGCAGGAGCAGUUGGACUUUCUAAGUGUAAUAAAAUGCCAGGCAGAAAUAUGAGGCUAUAGAACCUUUCGUUUCCAGAGACCUUCAGCUCUCUGGGGGCCAUUGAGCAUUUACCCUAAGUAUUCACAUAGCUUCACUUUUUAGAAUAAUCUUAGAUGAUUUAGGGCUUUUCAGGAAAUAGUUUCAUUUAUUACUAUGCCUCAUAAUGUUAAAGCAUGUCUGUGGAUACUGCAGGACCUGCUGAUGGUUUUAAACCUCCUAUUAGGUUUUGAAGACUUCUGACAUCCCUUUGGCUCAAAAAUCUUUUUAAAACUUUCAAGAUAAGAGGCUCUGGAGCUUGGGAGGUGGGAUAUGUAAUAACGUCAGUCAUACUCAAAAUAAAAAACCUUGAAAUCAUCACAUAGGCUUGGUACUUUGUGGUAUAACAGCUAAAUGACAGGGCAUCUGCCUCUCCCAUCGUCCUGCCAGUUCUCACUGAUGUAUUGGGUCUGGGGUUGUGUGGACUCUCUCUACAUUGACACUAUUCUAACCAGAGGACACAGAGGUUAAUACAAGUUCCAGCCAGAAAGUGGCCACCCCUCUAACACUGGGUAGAGCAAAUGGAAAGAGUGGAGGUCCUUUUCCAGAGAAGCACUGGAGGGAUGCCGCUGGACCCUAGGAAUUCAGUUGAAAAUUAUACUAAUGAACCUCUGCAGUGGAAUCAAGGGAAGUCCCCAGAUUAACCAAAUGUCUCAAGAAUGAAAGAAAAAAAAAUCCUUCACCUUUUCUGGCCCCUUAGAACAGAAAACAUCCUAAAGGCUUAGUGAAAUGGCAACAUUCCUAAAAUGCCUUAUUGUGGAAACCGUAAGAUUAUCAACUAAAUAAAUAUCCAUUAAUAGGAUAAAAGAAAAAGUAAGGCUUCUGUGAAACGGAUUCAAAAAUCAAUAAGAGAAUGGGUUGUAUUAAUUGUGAUUCUGUUGCAAUAGACAGAAAGCCCAGCACAGAUUGAUUUUUGUAAAAAGAAAGUUCUGCAAAAUGUCCAGGAGUACACUUAGCUUUAGGUGUUGCUGCCUAGAAGGGCCCAAAUAGUGUUCUCACAGAAGGAUUUCUCCUGGCCCAUAUCUUUAAGAGAAGAACCAUUGUCCUUUCCGUGAGGGUUCUAUCCUCCGAAAAUCUUUUUCUUUGGGGUGGAAGGAUGACUACAAGAGUUCUGGUCACACCGUUUAGGUUCUGUAUCCAUGGAAACAGAGCGGCUCCUCUCACCCAGCACACGUUCUUGCAGCAUCUUUAGCUGGUCAGGUCAUGUGCUGCUCCAGAAAUGAUUUGCUGGGGCUGAAGAAGAUUUCGCUUCAGUGCCAGAUUCCUGCUUUUCUCUGAGACCUGGCAGGUCCCAAAGACCAGAGUGCAUCUUCAAGGUAAACCAGGAGCCUUGGCUUGGAACUGUGGAAAGGAAAACUGGGAAGGCAAACAGCAAAGACCCAUUACUCAGAGUAAGACUAAAAUGAAGCAGAGCAUGAAGAGAUUCAUAAUCUACUUAAAAUUAAAACAGAGUGGAGGGAGUGCAAUACACAAGGACUGCAAAAAAUAUAAUGACAGAAUCUAAAUUUGCAUCAGGACUCAUAGAGAAGGAAAAAAAAUGGUACCAAUAUUAAAUUGAAAUAUGAAGGAAAAAUUAAGAAAAUUUUCCAGAGGACAGAGGAAAAAAGGAAACUAACUCAUGAAAGGCACAGAAAAGAAAUCCAACUUGCAAAUUAUAUCUUAGAAUAGAGAGUCCAUCAAUAGACCCACAUAAAUAAAGACAACUGACCUUUAACAAAGGAGCAAAGGAAAUUCAAUGGAAUAAAGAUAGUCUUUCAAUGAAUGGUUGAACAAUUAGCCACAUGCAAAAAUCAUGAAUCUAGACAUAGUCCUUACACUCUUCACAAAAAUUAUCUUGAAAUGGAUCAUAAAUCUAAAACAAAAACUAUAAUGAUAACCUAGAUAAUGACAUAGGUGAAAACUUAGCUAACCUUUGGUAUUGUGAUGACUUUUUAUUUUAUUUUUAAAUUUUUUUGGCUUUUUAAGUCUGCACCUGUGGCAUUGGGAAGUUCCCAGGCUAGGGGUCGAAUCAGAGCUAAGACUUAAGACAUCACAUUAUUUCUCCCAAUAUAUUUAAUGUGAUAAUUUCUUCUCAUAAAAAUAGGGCUCCUCAUAUCGCAUUAUAAACAAAGCUGAAAUUAAUGCUGGUUACAAACAGGGAUGAUGUCAACAAAACUGCAAAAUGGGCAGUUCGAAGCUCUUACCCCUCCAUUGAAACAUUAAAAAACAAGCAGAAAUUGUCAGAACCAAGUUUGUCAGAACUCUAGAAAACAGUCAAAAGUUUAGAGCAGCGAAAUAAACAUUAGGUCAAGAAAAAGGAAACUUCGAGAUGGUAAAAAUGUUGUGUGUUAUCCCAACACCUCCUUGGCUCAAUGGUUGUCUUGAAGACAAAAGCCCAUGUUCUCAGAGUGGGAUCUAGUUCUCUGGUUCUGGAGAAAACAGAGCUGACCUUACUUGCAAAUUAUUGUGCCUGUCUGUUCUAACCUGUCUGGGUGCUUCCUGGAGGGCUGGGGGGUCUCUGUUCCAUCUAACUAGAAAUUCAGGCUAGAAAUGUGGCAGGCAUUGCUCAAAAACACUGCAAACCAAACUAAAAACACAUCAAGUCCUAGUACAAACAAUUAUAGCUGAAACAUACAACAGACUUCUUAAGGAUGCUUAAGGAGCAAAACUUGGGAUAGUUUAUUUGGGAACUUAAGACACACAGAAGCACCCACAUAUAUCAGGAAAUUUAGAAGGCUAUGUACAUGCAUGCUCAGGGAUUGCUUAAAAAAACACCUAAGAAGAUUUUAAGCUUUCUCCUUAGGCUCAGCAAAAUCCUUAGUGCCAAAGGAGUGCUCUGGCACAGAGCCUAUCUGCAAACUUGGGGAGAAGGUUUCCUCUUGUUGUUUGUUUUAUGUUUUAGCUUCUGGAGUUUGAAGAAAUCUCUUAAAACAGUGGCUGAACACAAACUAAAGAACAGAGAUUUCAGUGACCACACAAUAAGAAAUAGAGUCUUCGCAAGAAUAAUUUGGGAAAAUCACUAAAUAAAAGGAUAGUUACAGCCUU
rnacentral:lncRNA from 1 species